UAGUCUGGUGCCAGCAGCCGCGGUAAUUCCAGCUCCAAUAGCGUAUAUUAAAGUUGUUGCAGUUAAAACGCUCGUAGUCGGAUUUCGGGGCAGGUUUGCCGGUCUGCCGAUGGGUAUGCACUGGUAGAACUGUCCUUCCUUCCGGAGACGGCGCCUACUCUUAACUGAGCGGGUGUCGGAGAUGGAUCGUUUACUUUGAAAAAAUCAGAGUGUUUCAAGCAGGCAGCUCGCUUUUGCAUGGAUUAGCAUGGGAUAAUGAAAUAGGACUUUGGUGCUAUUUUGUUGGUUUCGAACACCGAAGUAAUGAUUAACAGGGACAGUCAGGGGCACUCGUAUUCCGCCGAGAGAGGUGAAAUUCUUAGACCAGCGGAAGACGAACCACUGCGAAAGCAUUUGCCAGGGAUGUUUUCACUGAUCAAGAACGAAAGUUAGGGGAUCGAAGACGAUCAGAUACCGUCGUAGUCUUAACCAUAAACCAUGCCGACUAGGGAUUGGAGGAUGUUCCUAUGUGACUCCUUCAGCACCUUUCGGGAAACUAAAGUCUUUGGGUUCCGGGGGGAGUAUGGUCGCAAGGCUGAAACUUAAAGGAAUUGACGGAAGGGCACCACCAGGAGUGGAGCCUGCGGCUUAAUUUGACUCAACACGGGGAAACUUACCAGGUCCAGACAUUGUGAGGAUUGACAGAUUGAGAGCUCUUUCUUGAUUCGAUGGGUGGUGGUGCAUGGCCGUUCUU
rnacentral:rRNA from 1 species